rnacentral:rRNA from 1 species
AAUUUUUAAGUCAAAAAGCUUAAAUUUUAUUAAGGGGCGAGAAGACCCUAUAGAACUUUAUUAAUUUAUUGGACCACAUAAUUUUUUUGUUUACUUUUGUGGUCCAUAUUUUUAAUUGUGUUGGGGUGACAUAGAAAUUUAAUUAACUUUCUUUUUUUAUAUUCAUUGAUUAGUGUAUUUUUAGAUCCAGGUUUAUCUUGAUUGUAAGUUUAAGUUACCUUAGGGAUAACAGCGUAAUUCUUUUGGAGAGUUCUAAUCGAUGAAAGAGUUUGCGACCUCGAUGUUGGAUUAAAAUUAGUGUUGGGAGUAGAAGAUCAAUUACUAGGUCUGUUCGACCUUUAAAUUUUUACA